rnacentral:tRNA from 1 species
GGUCCCGUAGCUGAAGCAGCCAAAGCCUCCCGUUGUCGGCGGGAAGAGUGAGGGUGCAAAUCCCUCCGGGACCGCCA